GGAGUGUCGUUUACUUUCGUUGGUGCUGAAUGGCUGAACAAAAAAAGUACAGAAAUGGAAGACUGUAGGCGUUAGCUCCCACUGUAGAUCCAAGAUGGCUUCCACUGUGUUCAUUAAUGCAGUAUAUUCUGUGUUUGGACGAUUAAUAUAUGGAGUUCUAAGUGUUUUUGGAGAGGAUCCCAAGUUUAUGAGCUAUUCACAGUUCACACCCCACUGUCAAGUUUCAUAACUUCCUGUAGCCACUAACAUUAGCAUUAGCAUUAACUCGUAGGUAAACGGAAACCAGCGGGGAUGCCAUAUUUUCAGGAGUUUCUGUCUCCUGCCUGUUCUGUUGUUGAUUUUAAACUGUUGUGUAUGCAGUCCAUGUUUCUAUCUGUUUAUAUGUAUUGUAUGUGCAUUUAUUGACCGUUUGGGCAGCAGCUACUAUGCAGUACACACCCUCAAGUCCAUGACAAGUGGAAUCCUUUCUAAAGUCAUAACGAAAGAAGAAUAAAGAUAAAAAAAGAUACACAAGUUAGAAAGCUUCAAAGUGCAAACCAGAACCCUUCUUGCAGGAAAAUACAAUAGAUAUUAUCAGUGGAGUAAAAUGAAAGUGCACAAAUCCUAUCAUUGCUUGUAGUUCAACACAAGUAAAUAAAAUCUUUUUCCAUGCUGCUGUUAUUUGAAAACAUACAUCCAAGUCAGGAGAAAUCAUGUUACAUCAAAAACACUUUGUCGACUGGCAGCUCAGAAUAUAUUACAUCUGGUUGCUUCUUCCUCUUUGCCAGAGGCAGAAGGGCUUCUGUCGGUGUAAAAGGAUUCGUAUUUCAGCCCUCCAGACUGCUGCAACAAAAGUAAUGAUAUCAGACUCGGUCGAACCACUGAAGGCAUUCACGACGCCGUUAUAAGGCUCCGUUCCUGAAGGACCCCCAGAUGUAGACUAUGCAUAUCUUGACAACUGUGUUACUGUGCCAGUGCUUUUUAUAGGCUCUCACCUCGACUGGCUGCCAGAUUGACGUCUUCUUCUCGUGACAUUGUGAGAAAAAAACCCAAAAAAUAAACGAAGGCUUUGAUUGGCCUGUGAGCUCUGGAGUGCCAUGAAGCGGCUUUUGAGCUACAAAAAGUCACAGGCAGUCACAGAGGACUGGAACCAUGAUUUAGCAUCUGGAGUGUAAAUGAAAUGCAAAAGGAAA